rnacentral:rRNA from 1 species
AGUUGGUGGAGUGAUUUGUCUGGUUAAUUCCGAUAACGAACGAGACCUUAACCUGCUAACUAGUCACGGGAAGCCUUGUGCUUGCCGGCCGACUUCUUAGAGGGACAGUCUGUUUCCAGCAGAUGGAGGUGUGAGGCGAUAACAGG